UGAGGAAUUUUCUGCAAUGGGCGAAAGCCUGACAGAGCAAUACCGCGUGAGGGAUGAAGGCCUACGGGUUGUAAACCUCUUUUUUCAAGGAGGAAGAUCUGACGUUACUUGAAGAAUAAGCAUCGGCUAACCCUGUGCCAGCAGCCGCGGUAAUACAGGGGAUGCAAGUGUUAUCCGGAAUCAUUGGGCGUAAAGCGUCUGCAGGUUGAUCUCUAAGUCUUUUGUUAAAUCUUUGGGCUUAACCCGAAAUCUGCAAAGGAAACUAUAGAUCUUGAGUAUAGUAGAGGGAAAGGGAAUUUUCAGUGGAGCGGUGAAAUGCGUAGAUAUUGGAAAGAACACCAACAGCGAAGGCACUUUCCUGGGCUAUUACUGACACUCAGAGACG
rnacentral:rRNA from 1 species